GAUGAACGCUGGCGGCGUGCCUAAUACAUGCAAGUCGAGCGAACAGACGAGGAGCUUGCUCCUCUGACGUUAGCGGCGGACGGGUGAGUAACACGUGGAUAACCUACCUAUAAGACUGGGAUAACUUCGGGAAACCGGAGCUAAUACCGGAUAAUAUAUUGAACCGCAUGGUUCAAUAGUGAAAGACGGUUUUGCUGUCACUUAUAGAUGGAUCCGCGCCGCAUUAGCUAGUUGGUAAGGUAACGGCUUACCAAGGCAACGAUGCGUAGCCGACCUGAGAGGGUGAUCGGCCACACUGGAGCGGAGACACGGUCCAGACUCCUACGGGAGGCAGCAGUAGGGAAUCUUCCGCAAUGGGCGAAAGCCUGACGGAGCAACGCCGCGUGAGUGAUGAAGGUCUUCGGACCGUAAAACUCUGUUAUUAGGGAAGAACAAAUGUGUAAGUAACUAUGCACGUCUUGACGGUACCUAAUCAGAAAGCCACGGCUAACUACGUG
rnacentral:rRNA from 1 species